UCCCGAACCCGGCAGUUAAGCCCGUCAGCGCCGAUGGUACUGGGGGAGUCGUCCUCUGGGAGAGUAGGUCACUGCCAACU
rnacentral:rRNA from 1 species